AUUCAGUGAAUAAGACAAUAAAUGUGAAGCAUGUGACUGUGGAGAAAAGGGAACGUGCUCAUUUGAUAAAAAUGACAAAAAGAAGUGUGACUGUGCGAAACGAUAUUCAGUGAAUAAUGACGGGAAAUGUACAGCUUGCGAUUGUGGAGAAUAUGGCAAUUGUAAAAUUGAUAAGGAUGGAAGUAAAGUAUGUUCCUGCAAUGAUGGCUUCAUUGAACUCCACGAAAGUGCGUGG